GACGGAAGGUGCAAGCGUUGCUCGGAAUCACUGGGCGUAAAGGGUGCGUAGGCGGCUUGGUAGGUCUGGUGUGAAAGCCCCGGGCUCAGCCCGGGAAGGGCACUAGAAACUGCCAAGCUAGAGUGCCGGAGGGGAGAGUGGAAUUCCUGGUGUAGCGGUGAAAUGCGCAGAUAUCGGGAAGAACACCCGUGGCGAAGGCGGUUCUCUGGGACGGUACUGACGCUGAGACGCGAAAGCGUGGGGAGCGAACAGG
rnacentral:rRNA from 1 species